rnacentral:rRNA from 1 species
GAUGAACGCUAGCGACAGGCUUAACACAUGCAAGUCGAGGGGCAGCGGGGGUAGCAAUACCCGCCGGCGACCGGCGCACGGGUGAGUAACGCGUAUGCAACUUACCUAUCAGAGGGGGAUAACCCGGCGAAAGUCGGACUAAUACCGCAUGAAGCAGGGAUCCCGCAUGGGAAUAUUUGCUAAAGAUUCAUCGCUGAUAGAUAGGCAUGCGUUCCAUUAGGCAGUUGGCGGGGUAACGGCCCACCAAACCGACGAUGGAUAGGGGUUCUGAGAGGAAGGUCCCCCACAUUGGUACUGAGACACGGACCAAACUCCUACGGGAGGCAGCAGUGAGGAAUAUUGGUCAAUGGCCGAGAGGCUGAACCAGCCAAGUCGCGUGAGGGAUGAAGGUUCUAUGGAUCGUAAACCUCUUUUAUAAGGGAAUAAAGUGCGGGACGUGUCCCGUUUUGUAUGUACCUUAUGAAUAAGGAUCGGCUAACCCCGUGCCAGCAGCCGCGGUAAUACGGAGGAUCCGAGCGUUAUCCGGAUUUAUUGGGUUUAAAGGGUGCGUAGGCGGCCUUUUAAGUCAGCGGUGAAAGUCUGUGGCUCAACCAUAGAAUUGCCGUUGAAACUGGGGGGCUUGAGUAUGUUUGAGGCAGGCGGAAUGCGUGGUGUAGCGGUGAAAUGCAUAGAUAUCACGCAGAACCCCGAUUGCGAAGGCAGCCUGCCAAGCCAUGACUGACGCUGAUGCACGAAAGCGUGGGGAUCAAACAGGAUUAGAUACCCUGGUAGUCCACGCAGUAAACGAUGAUCACUAGCUGUUUGCGAUACACUGUAAGCGGCACAGCGAAAGCGUUAAGUGAUCCACCUGGGGAGUACGCCGGCAACGGUGAAACUCAAAGGAAUUGACGGGGGCCCGCACAAGCGGAGGAACAUGUGGUUUAAUUCGAUGAUACGCGAGGAACCUUACCCGGGUUUGAACGCAUUCGGACCGAGGUGGAAACACCUUUUCUAGCAAUAGCCGUUUGCGAGGUGCUGCAUGGUUGUCGUCAGCUCGUGCCGUGAGGUGUCGGCUUAAGUGCCAUAACGAGCGCAACCCUUGCCACUAGUUACUAACAGGUAAAGCUGAGGACUCUGGUGGGACUGCCAGCGUAAGCUGCGAGGAAGGCGGGGAUGACGUCAAAUCAGCACGGCCCUUACAUCCGGGGCGACACACGUGUUACAAUGGCGUGGACAAAGGGAAGCCACCUGGCGACAGGGAGCGAAAUCCCCAAACCGCGUCUCAGUUCGGAAUCGGAGUUCUGCAACCCGACUCCGUGAAGCUGGAUUUCGCUAGUAAUCGCGCAUUCGGCCAUGAGCGCGGUGAAUACGUUUCCCGGGCCU